ensembl:lncRNA
GUUAGCUUCAUUGUCUUUCUAGGAGACUAAAUAAAUAAAUAAGUAAAAGCUGAAAAGAAGAUUUACUGAUCCCUUAUUAGUUGUCCAGAUUCCAACCUCACUCCACACUGUAAAUCCAGAGUAACUCCUCUGGAGCAAUGCCGUUAUCCAGCCUUCAACUGUGGAAUUGCCCAUCCUUGUUGUGUUGAGGCCCACUAAACACAGAUAUCCGGUAUGGGUUUGGCAGUACUGUUUAAUGAACAAAACCAUCUCUGUUUGAAUUAUGGACAACUCGCCAACAAUUUGCAGUCCAUAAAAAUACUUUUGGAUAUAAGUUGUUCAUCAGUUCAUCAGAGAUAUUUCCAUGCUUUAGCUGGGCAGCUAACUUAGAACAAGUUACUUAUUCAGCAGGUUUUGUCAUAGCAUUACUCUGGGAAUGGGGAAGAGAUAGAUAAAAUGAGUUAUAUUACCUUCAAUGCUGCCCCUUGCAGACUAUAAGCUUCUUAAAACCCUAUGAAAAGUGUAGGUUCCUCUUCUAAAGAGAAGAUUACCUGGGUGUUUUUGGUUUUGUUUGUUUGUUUUGUCUCCAGAUAUUCUUUAAGGAGUUGCUACAAGUUGUAAACCAACAUAUUUCUUUGCAUAUUAAAUCACCAGCUCAGGCAGAUUUUGAUCAGUGUCCCCUAGACACCCCACUGCACCAUCUGUACUGAAGACACAGCCCUUUAGUGUUCCCGGUCUGGGUUGCUGGGUUUGACAUUUUUAAUGAACCAGUUCUAAGACGAAAUGUUUGCCUGCUUUGCAAGCCAAGAUGGUAGAGUUAUUAAUUUGGUUGAACUGUACUGAUGAAUACAGUGAAGCGUUCUGGAAGCUCUUUCACUUUAGGUUUCCUCAAGCUCCCUGCAGCAUCGAAAGAAACGUCUGUACCUCAUUAUCUGCGUCCUUUCAGAUGCAGGUAGUGAUGUGCUGGAAUUCAGCAGCAGUGCUUGCGAUGGUAAAGCUUGCUUGUCAAGAUGGGCAUUGCAAAAGACCAUUCUUAAUGUGUGGAACUUGGCUACUCGCUCUUAAGUGAUGAGUCCAGCUAAAUUAAAUAUUGAUUAAAACGCUCUGCUUGCAACACCUCUAGCUUUAAACUCAGCGUGUAUUUUGUUUGUAUUGCAAAAAUAAAGUUGGAGUUUUAAUAAUGGAGUGAUUUGAAGACCAGCUACUGAAAGCAGAAAAAUUCUCCUGAGUGGUACGUUGGAAAGCAAGUGAAGGUAAAGCCAGCUCUCCGUAGGGAUGGGAGAGUGGGUGAGCCACCUCACCUGAGUAGAAAAUGGAAAGUCUAAACAAAGUGAACUAGAGGUGUCUUUCUGUAGGGAAAAGCACCAUCUGAUUGGGAAUAAUGAAUUUAGAUCCUUUGAAACAUAAAAAUUUGGUUCUGUUGUUCCCUCACUCCUUCCUAAUAACACCCUACCUCAGGAGCUGUCAGUGACUCUGUCUUUAUUUUCCAGAUUCAUGUUUAUAUUCUGUUUAUAUUGAUCUGAGUGCUUUUUUGUGAGGAAUUAUAUUAUUCUGCAAUGUAUACUCCGUGAAUAUUAAGAAGGGGAAUCAUAAAUUCUGCAUUGUUUGCUUGAUUUACCUGCCAGUAAUGAUGCGUUUGAUCCGGGAGCCAGUGACUUUGCACAGUAACAAGCAAGAAUGAGACUUCAGGCUUUCAGCUCAUGUGGUCCUCAGGCAUUUUGUGACUGUGGUGCUUUAAUCUGAGGCAAAAGAGGCCGCGAUAACUACAGUUUUGGAGUAGACUGUGAGCAGCUAACAAGAACAACGUUAUUUCACUGAUAUCAUGGCACUUACCUUCUUUGUAUCACUCAAAGCAUGCAAAGAGAUGUAAAUCUGUCCUAAAUAAUCCAUUAAAUCCUCAGCUACUGGUUCUUCAACGCCCCUUUUGCCAGAAACAGCUAAAAAAAUGGUCUCAGCUGCAUAAUACUGUCUAGGACUCCUUCCUGUAAGCCAAGUCUGAAGAAGCAAGUGGGAGUGAAGAACUGGCUCUGGUCAUUCUUACUGCCUCUCCUUCAUUUGAAUCUAGACUGCAUUCAGCUGCAAAUUUAAUGUUUUCUUUCCAUGUUAAUAUUCCAUUGCAGUCAUGAACUCUUCAGGGCAGGUGUUGCUUCUGCCUGAGAGCCCAGCACCUACCACAGCAGGUUCCUGGCCACUGGGCACUACCACAUAGAGUAGUACGUACCACCAGACAUCCAGAUGUGGGCACAGCCAUACUGUGAAUAAUGGUGAUAGCAAAAUGAGAACCAGAAGGAAAAACUAUUUUAAUGCUGCAAGUAAUCAUAGCGCAUGUAGGGAGAAUGCGUGGAACAGUAAAAGCCACACUACCUUGCUGUCUGCUAGCUGUCACUGUGAAGCCAUGCUGUCUUGAAUGUUACCAAGACUUUUUAUCCAGUUAGCAAAUCGCUGAGUGAAUGCAGGUUAUGCUGAAAGAACCUUGGGCCGGAUGGUUGAAGCCACUCCUUUCUCUAUCAACCAGCUGCAGAAAGAGCCAGCACAGAUUGGCAAAGUGCCUUCUGCAUAAUCUCUGCUGUUAAGAUGUCACGGGAAGGACAAAUAGACUGACUUGUAGCUGGUUGCUAUUUGGGUGAGACCAGAAGCUGCCCUUUGUCAUCAUGGGCGCAUUUGGGAUUUUCCGAAGAAUUUAAGAACGCUUGGCUUCCCGCAACCGUCUUGGGAACCCUGGGAAAUCUUUGGCUGCAACAUAUGUCAGGGCUUCAUUCUGGUCCUGUUCCAACACGGGCUUGAGACUGCAGGGCUGAAGCACAGAAGCCCCUGAAGCUGUGGCUCUGUGAGAGGUGGCAGGACUCCUUACAGCCUUCCACUUAACUCCAGCAAAACCCACAGAGAAAUGAUUGUUUGCUGAGCUUGUGAACUCUCAGACCAUGAAAGGGAGCUUUUAAAAUGAUCCCCAUGCCUUUGUUUCUUCUCGGGUUCCCCAUGGCUCCAUCUCAGCCACAUGGCACAGGUGAUGGGCAGGCUCCAUCUUUCACCCCCUCUGCCCUCGCUGCUUGCUUAAAGAGACCAAUGCCGGUGGCCUGCAGCAAUGCAGCCAUUGGGUUUUGGAGCUGCUCUUCUCUGGUGCUUGUGUUCUGAGAGCACAGACCCUCCUGGCGACAGGACAGGCUCAGCCAAAGGGCUCUCGCUGACAGCUUUCCAUCCCCCCAGUAUCUGUGUUUCCUCACUCUCUUUUUAUAAAUCUUUAGACUUCGAAGGAGAGUUUAUACACAGUGUGAGGAGUGUCAGUUGUUACACUAUAAGCCUUAAUAAAUAGUACUAUCUCACGGUGAUAAGACCAGUGUUUCUGAUAAGUUCAUGGCGACGGACACGAGAAGUCUCAUAAAACAGUUAUACACCAAGGCUUUCUUGGAGCUCCAAGCCAGAGGACCCUGCUGCCAAGGUGCCACACGUUUGAACCACCAGCUAUGCCACUGUGACACUCAUCAUCAGGUGCUUAUUUUAUACAGUUAUUCUCUCCCAUGGCCUAAUUUCACAUCUCUGUAACCCUGCAGUCUUCACCUGAGACGAUGAAAAGGUCUACGCCACCUAAGGACUGUACCUCUGUAUCAUCAAGCAUUCAGUCCUGGAAGAGAUGGUCCUAUUUGAAGUGUUAUAUUUUCCAACUUCCACUCAUUUGCAAGACAGCCCCAUCACGUUACUUUACAUUUUGUCCCUCUAACGACUUUUAAACAUGGGACAACGUGAGGUCCAGCUGCAUGGGCUGUUCUUCUUCAGCUCGUGUGUGGAAGUCUUCCUGAGCUCUUUAAAAUGUUGGUAAUGAAUAGCAUAUAACAUUUUGAUGCGCAGUCUCGCUUUUGUAAGACAGGUUGGGAUGUUCCUAAGUUUGCAGUCUUUCUUACAGUGCCAGUAUUCGUAGAGGAGGAGGCAGAUUUAAUCUUUGCAAAGAGGACUUUCAGGCUUCUAACGACCUGGAGCUGUAACCUAUGUGGAGAGAGAGGCUUGAUGGUGUCCUGGAGCACUUAUCUGCAAACUUAUCAAAACUCAACUAGCUGAUCAGUUCCAAAAUGCCCAAAUGCUCCAGCAUCCACCCAGCACAACUUCCUUCUUCUUCAUUUUCAUUAAUCCUGGCUAAUAAGGAUGCACAUACCACACUGGAUUCACUCACAGGACUAUUACUGCUUUCUGUCAAACUGCUGGCCACAGCGAGGGACCCUGCAGGCAGUUUCUGUUAAGAAGAAAAGCUAACAAUAAACAGGUUUUUUACUUAAUGCAAUCCUUUUCAUUUACAAAGAAUGUGAAAAGUCUGUUUCUUUUAGAGGAGGAAUAAUGAAACGGGAGUGACAGCAUCUUGGAUCCGGGAACAAAGACAUUAUCCUUCAGCCAAAAGUCUGUACUGGGGUGGGGGAAUUUUCCUCCUGUGAAGACGUCUAUGUUUGUCUGCGCUUACUUGCUAUCUUUUUUCUCUGCUAUGUCUGCACAUCUUUCACAUUUGCAAAAACCACCAGAGAUAGCAGAGGAAUCGCUCUGCCUUUGUUAUGAGCUGCUCCCUUCCAGAAGGGAGCCUAAGCCUUGCUGCGACGACGAGAAAAGGAUAUGUCUGAUCACUUAUUUACUCUUGUAACGGCUCUGAAGGCCUCAGGACACAGACAAGAAAUGAUUGUAGCUCUAAUUUUUGAUUAGGCUCUCAAAAACUGUAUGUCAACCUUGGCCAGACGAGCUCUUUUACCAGUCUGAGACAGAGGCUGCAAAUGUCAUGAUGCUGGUGAGGAGUGAUCGCUUUGAGUUCAGUUUACCUUUAGUAAAAUCACUGUAAAAGCAUAAGCAGGCGACACCUGUGGACCACAGAGGGUGGUGGCAAGGACAGGUGGGAUGUGUCCUGUGGCAGCACCAGGCAGGGAGCACCUGAGGACAGAGGGAUCAGUAGAUGCAGGGUGCAUGAAGCACUGCAGGACAGCGUGAAGCACGUGGCACUGCUGAGCUGCUGACUUUUAGUAGCCAACAGAGUUGAAUAUUAUUUCCUAGGCUUGUUAAACAGAGACAGGAGAGGUUUAGGUUAGAUAUUAGGAGGAAGUUUUUCACACAGAGGGUGGUGACACACUGGAACAGGUUGCCCAAGGAGGUUGUGGAUGCCCCAUUCCUGGAGGCAUUCAAGGCCAGGCUGGAUGUGGCUCUGGGCAGCCUGGUCUGGUGGUUGGCAACCCUGCACAUAGCAGGGGGGUUGAAACUGGAUGAUCACUGUGGUCCUUUUCAACCCAGGCCAUUCUGUGGUUCUAUGAUUCUAUGAUUUUCUGUAGGUCUUCCUCAAGAAAUGACAGGUGGAGGUGGGGCAGUUGCUUUGUGAGAUGUUCUCUCGCUGAAGAUUGAUCUGGCAGAGGUCAUCCUGCUGAGCACUGCUCUGGGUCUCUGCAGCACAUUGCAGCUGAAGUCAUCCACUCCAGUUCUGCAGUAAGGAAAAGUGGUAAAAAGUCAUCCCAAGUACAGCCAUGUGAAUUUUCUUGUGAUUUUCCUUUCCUCGUUUCGUCCUGUCUGAUAAACUUUUCCAG